GCCCUGACCAACUUACCGCUUUAUUGUGUCACAACUACACCCUCUGACGUGAGCAUGCCUGCAAGUUUGCAAGGUAGGGACAAGGUAUACCUCUAGCCUCGCUGGUCCUAAAAUUACUGCGAGGGGCAAGUAUUUCAUCCGUUCCUGGUAGAGUAGUCACCUUGUCAAUGGCAACUGAGAACAAGACUGUAGACGCUCCAUCUGGGCGAUGCCUAUACGGCGGCUCCUAAGAAGGCUACCACCUCAAGAGAUCAGUAACCUGGCUUCAGGACAGUCUAACCCCAACAGAGCAUUCCUUAGGAAUGGCUUUCGUCUGCUAGCUCUGAACACAGCAAUACACAACGCCUCCCUGGGACCAGCGAAUUUGCACAAGCCAAAAAGGGUGAGUUUUAUACAUUCAGAGACACUGAAUGAUGUGUCGAAGUAACGAUUACCCUCUGAAGCCACCAAGUGUUUUUCAUUUUUGUCUGUGAAAUCUCUGGAUCUCAAAUCUGAAUUAAACUUCUUUAGUAUUCUCACAAAUAACUGGUACCAUUUCUUCCUGGUUUUUCUGAAUUCAAAAUUUAUACCCAACUCCUCAAUCCCAACUGGCAUUGCUUUUUUUUUUAGUGUGAGAUCUAGUUAUUCCUUCCUAGAAUAUCUUAUAAUAUAAAUUUAAAAUAAUUUCCUAAAAGCACUAGUAAGCUCAUAGUCAACAAACUCCACUCAUACACUUAGAGCUAAGUGACUUUUUAGUCUACUACUCUUAAAUGUGAGCAGACAAACCAAUUCAAAGAUGCGUGAGCAAAGCUUCUAAAGUGAAAAAGGGAGUCCCAAGAUGAACAAACGUAUACCCCAGAAUCCCAAUUCAGAGGAAAGAAGAAGAAUGAGAAGUUUUUAAAAUAUAUUAUUAAUACUCCCAAAGAGAUAAAGAAAAUAGUGCGAUUAUAAAAGCAAACAGGGAAGGAGACCUUCAAAAUGACAGAAAAUCUGCUCCUCCAAAGAGCAAAGCAAACAUUCGCAAAAUAUGUCAAAAUCAAGUUUUUCAAAGCUCUGGAAAUUAAACAAAGGUUUGCUACAGUCCAAGGAGCCCUCUUCAAGACAAACUGCUCAAUCUUGGUAAGGACAGCAAGCUUUUCACUGUUUUGCUGUGUCUUAUUUCCAUCACCAACUCACCAGCUGAAAAUCAACAGCGUCACAAUCAUAAUAGUUUGAAAACCAGCAGCCUCAAAGCCACUGGGAAGAGCUGAGCAAGUCUGGAGCACCAUAAAAAUCCCCAUUCCAAGAGAACUGUAAUGAUUUGACCUGUCUGGCACAUCCUAGAAUCCCCAUUCGCAGGGUUUUAUUUUACAUGAUUCACAGCACAUUCAGUAGGAGAGACUCUUACGCCUGAAGCCAAGAUCAAAAAGAAUCAGCAACAACUGCUUAACACGGCAACUGCCUAAGAUGAUGACAACUGGGGCAAAGACACUGACCAAAAAACUUACAAAGAAAAAUGGAGAAUGAGAUGUCCACAGGGGACUUUGAAAAAAAUCUGACACAUUCCUGGGAAUCUGAAAGACUAUGCAUAGGUGCAAGACUGUAGGAAAGUCUAAGAAAAGACCUGAGAACACACUAAUGUCUCAUCGCUGGCUGACCUUGACGCUCUGCACAAGCAGACAGAAAAGGGGAAGGCAGAGAUGCAUAAACUGCCCACCAGAACACGGAAAACAUUCCCAAACAUACACAGACAGCACUUCAGCAAAGGUUGCGAGGCUGACUGGUUGGUUUAAGGCAUCCAAGGAAAUGUCUAUCAAAUCAUUAGCUGGACACUAUGCUAACCAAGUAGAGACUUCAGUAGCCAUACACAUAAGAAAAAAAUAUAGACUUUAUGAAAUUAGUUCAGGAAAAUUACUAAACAAGCAGGGAGGAACAAACACCAAGAACAACAAAUCUGCAGAGAAAAACAGACUGUGAUGUCCAAAGGUGCACAAUAUAUUAUUUUAAAUGACCCGUUUCAACAAAAAAUUUAUACAGGUGAAGAAGUAAGAAAAUAUGGCCAAUACGGAGGAAAAAAAAAAAAUCAGUCAUCAGAAACUAUCCUUAAAGGAAGCCCAGAGACUGAACGUAUUAGAUGAAUAUUUGAAAUCAACUAUUAUAAGUAUGUUGAAAAUAAGUAAAGGAGGUUAUUUCUAAAGAACUGAAGGUAAGUAUAAGAACAUCUCACCAAAUAGAGAAUAUCACUGAAGAGACAGAAAACAUAAGAAUCCUAUAGAGAUUCUACAAAUGAAAAGCAUAAAACUGAAAUAAAAAAUUCACUAGAUGGGGUGCCUGACUGGACUGGUUGAUAGAGCAUACAAAUCCUGAUCUCUGGGUUGUGGGUUUGAGCCCCACGUUGGGCAUAAGAUUACUUUAAAAAAACAAAAUCUUUAAAAAAAAAAAAAAUUCACAAGAGGGCUCAACAACAAAUUUGAGUUGAGAGAAGAAAAAAGCUGCAACCUUGAAGAGGAGUCAGUUGACAAUAUUCUGUCUGAGAAACAAAAGAAAAGGAACAGGGCACAAACAAACAAACAAACAAACCAGAGCCUAAGAGUUCAUGUUCUUAUAAUGUACCAACAUAUAUACAUAUAUAUGUACCAACAAAACAUAUAAUGAAAUACCAGAAGAAAGAAAAAAGGACAGAAUAUAUGGAGAAAUAAUGGCCAAAAACUUCUCACAUUUUAUAUAAAAUUUUAACCUACAUAUUCAAGAAGCUCAACAAACUCCAAAUAGAAUAAACUUAAAGAGAUCCUAACCAACACACAUGAGAAACAAACUGCUGGAAGAAAAGACAAAAUCUUGAAAGCAACGACAGGGAAGGCACUCUUUGUGUACAACGAAUCCUCAAUAAAAUAAAUAAAUCAUUUCUCAUUUAAAAAAAGGAAAAAAAAAAACUGGAGAUCAAGUGGCA